UGGGGAAUAUUGCACAAUGGGGGAAACCCUGAUGCAGCGACGCCGCGUGAGCGAAGAAGGCUUUCGAGUCGUAAAGCUCUGUCCUAUGAGAAGAUAAUGACGGUAUCAUAGGAGGAAGCCCUGGCUAAAUACGUGCCAGCAGCCGCGGUAAUACGUAUGGGGCGAGCGUUGUCCGGAAUUAUUGGGCGUAAAGGGUACGUAGGCGGUUUUUUAAGUCAGGUGUCAAAGCGUGGAGCUUAACUCCAUUAAGCACUUGAAACUGAAAGACUUGAGUGAAGGAGAGGAAAGUGGAAUUCCUAGUGUAGCGGUGAAAUGCGCAGAUAUUAGGAGGAAUACCGGUGGCGAAGGCGACUUUCUGGCCAUAUACUGACGCUGAGGUACGAAAGCGUGGGUAGCAAACAGG
rnacentral:rRNA from 1 species